rnacentral:rRNA from 1 species
UACGUAGGGGGCAAGCGUUGUCCGGAAUCAUUGGGCGUAAAGAGCGUGUAGGCGGCUCGGUAAGUCCGCUCUGAAAGCCCGGGGCUCAACCCCGGGAGGCGGGCGGAUACUGUCGGGCUAGAGUCCGGAAGAGGCGAGUGGAAUUCCUGGUGUAGCGGUGAAAUGCGCAGAUAUCAGGAGGAACACCAAUGGUGAAGGCAGCUCGCUGGGACGGUACUGACGCUGAGACGCGAAAGCGUGGGGAGCAAACAGG